UGGGGAAUUUUGGACAAUGGGCGAAAGCCUGAUCCAGCAAUGCCGCGUGUGUGAAGAAGGCCUUCGGGUUGUAAAGCACUUUUGUCCGGAAAGAAAUCCUUGGCUCUAAUACAGUCGGGGGAUGACGGUACCGGAAGAAUAAGCACCGGCUAACUACGUGCCAGCAGCCGCGGUAAUACGUAGGGUGCAAGCGUUAAUCGGAAUUACUGGGCGUAAAGCGUGCGCAGGCGGUUUGCUAAGACCGAUGUGAAAUCCCCGGGCUCAACCUGGGAACUGCAUUGGUGACUGGCAGGCUAGAGUAUGGCAGAGGGGGGUAGAAUUCCACGUGUAGCAGUGAAAUGCGUAGAGAUGUGGAGGAAUACCGAUGGCGAAGGCAGCCCCCUGGGCCAAUACUGACGCUCAUGCACGAAAGCGUGGGGAGCAAACAGGAUUAGAUACCCUGGUAGUCCACGCCCUAAACGAUGUCAACUAGUUGUUGGGGAUUCAUUCCUUAGUAACGUAGCUAACGCGUGAAGUUGACCGCCUGGGGGAGUACGGUCGCAAGAUU
rnacentral:rRNA from 1 species